GAUUUGUAUAAAAAGUACUAACUUUGCUGUUAAUAAUUUAGGAAAUGAGUCCAUUUUCUUGUACCCUACCAAAGCCGAUGUGUGCACAGCUAAUUCUGGCAGACUUGACUCUGGUUAGGAACAUUAGAACAAUCCGUGUAAGAUAUGUAACUAGAAAUUAGUUUCAUACCUAAGGGGUUUUUGUGACAAUCAACACAUGCUGCACUAUCACAUAUAAAUUCAGCAGAACACUGAACAACUGUAAUUAUAAAUUAUAUUUUUUUAUAGACAUGUGCAGUUUACAACUCCAGGGCUGCAUUAAAAACUGGUAUCCAUCAUGCUGUCAAAAUAACAAGUUCUGAUAGAAAACAAACAAAAUCAUAUUUAAAAAAUUUGACACUCAAUAUGCUAAAAUUUGAUGAUAGUGACAGGCAGACUACAAAUCUAAUUUAAAAAUGAAAGAAGCGGUUUAACACUACAUACUUAAUUCUUUAUUGGCCGGUAUAUUUCCAUUAAUUAGUUACAAUGAACUAACAUUGAGAGAGUUCAAAAUCCUGAAAAUGUUUAAAAGCAGUAAAAUUUCACCCAAAGUGGACAAGACAUAUCUCCCUCAAUAUAAGCAAUUUUGCAACUAUAAUACUAAAGCUGACUUAGGCCCAUACUCUAAAACAUCAAUUAAACUUAAUUUAGUUUCAAGAGAUGUCAUGUAAUUUUGCCUGUAUGAUAUUUGACAAUGCUCAAGUCAACAUCUUGACUUGAAAUAUUAAUUAGCAUAUGGACUUUAAAAUGGGAAGAAAUACUCAAGAACUUAAAUAAUGUACCAUGGGGUGGUAUGGUAUUCCAUCUCAAAUCAAGUUACCGUCUAAAAUUAUAAAGAGAAGAGGGCUACUAUUAUGACUAAAUUGAUGUUGCCCAGCCUAGAUGUCCUAGAAACUGCAAAGGUACAUGCAUAACACAUAGUCCCAACUGCAGAUUAUAAACAACUGAUUGGUGCAAAUAAAAUAUAUAUUUAAUUAA